rnacentral:lncRNA from 1 species
CUGAGGAACAGGCUCGAGUGAGUACUUCAACAAACGCGGUGCUGUCAAGUUCGCCUCCAAGUUUGCUAACAGCAUCUGAAAUGCGCCGCACAGCGGGGGCAUCAUCAGCAGCAAACAUGCUCUCGUACCGGCCUUUGUGUUGGACCUCAAAACGUGUCGUAGGUUUGUCCCUCCUAGUUGGGUUGACACCCUCACGCAGCACCCCCAGCUCGAGCAACACUGGGCAGUGGUCGCUCAUGAGGCUACCAACUCUCUUGCCGGUUAGUGUGACAGGAAUGUCUAGCACACGCAAUGGGUUCGACUUGAAGAAAAGGGCAGGUGAUGCUACGAAGAGAUCAAUCAUGCUGCUGCCGUUCCCAAAAUGUACUCCAAAAA